rnacentral:rRNA from 1 species
UACGGGGGGGGCAAGCGUUGUUCGGAAUUACUGGGCGUAAAGGGCUCGUAGGCGGUUUGUCACGUCGGGAGUGAAAACUCGGGGCUUAACCCCGAGCCUGCUUCCGAUACGGGCAGACUAGAGGUAUGCAGGGGAGAACGGAAUUCCUGGUGUAGCGGUGAAAUGCGCAGAUAUCAGGAGGAACACCGGUGGCGAAGGCGGUUCUCUGGGCAUUACCUGACGCUGAGGAGCGAAAGUGUGGGGAGCGAACAGG